rnacentral:lncRNA from 1 species
GAUUAUUCUUACUCUACUAUUUAUGGUAAUUUUUGAUCUGUUUGAUUCUAAUUGUGAUGGAUCCUUGCUCGCCUUUUGAAUAAACUAUCAUGUCAUUUCUCUCUUGUCAUGAAUGUGUAGAAUUUACUAAAGUGUGGUCACUUGAGAGGUGAAUUAGUGAGUCUAAAAUGUUUAAGUGUAGUUACAUGAAAGGUGAACUUGUAUUUUGAAUAUAGUUAAGUGUGGUCACUAGAGAAGUGAAUGAGUGACUUGAAAAUGUUUAAGUGUAGGUACUUGAAAUGUG